GGGGGUGACAGGCUUCGACAGGGAUUGCGGGUGCAAGAAUAGCAUACCGGUGAUAUUACCUAUCCCGUAAAUAUGGUAAUGCUAAAUUGAAUUGCAGAUGAAAAUCUCGCAUUAGCUGCCUAAAAAACAGCUACAUUUGACUUGAUGUUGCCAUUUGCAUCUCUUCAAAUGUCGUUCAAAAUGGCUCUAAUAUUGUGAUGUCUAUAAGCAGUAUUGAAAUUUAUAGACUGGUUCUGUACAGGUUUGUCUGUUGUUCUGUACUGAAUAAGAAAAUGCAACUGACUAUGUAUGUAGAAGUUCUUGUAUCCAAAUCUCUGGACGCGGGUUCAACUCCCGCCACCUCCACCA
rnacentral:tmRNA from 1 species